GAUGAAGAACGUAGCGAAAUGCGAUAAGUAGUGUGAAUUGCAGAAUUCAGUGAAUCAUCGAAUCUUUGAACGCACAUUGCGCCCUAUAGUAUUCUGUAGGGCAUGCAUGUUCGAGCGUCAUUUGUACCUUCAAGCUUUGCUUGGUGUUGGGUGUUUGUCCUCUCCCUGGUGUUUGGACUCGCCUUAAAACAAUUGGCAGCCAGUGUUUUGGUAUUGAAGCGCAGCACAAUUUGCGAUUCUGGCCUUAAAAUACUAGCGUCCAUAAGUACAUUCUCACUUUUGACCUCGGAUCAUGUAGGGAUACCCGCUGAACUUAAGCAUAUCCAAUAAGCGGAGGA
rnacentral:misc_RNA from 1 species